rnacentral:rRNA from 1 species
UACGUAGGGGGGCUAGCGUUGUCCGGAAUCAUUGGGCGUAAAGAGCGUGUAGGCGGCCCGGUAAGUCCGCUGUGAAAGUCGGGGGGCUCAACCCUCGAAUGCCGGUGGAUACUGUCGGGCUAGAGUGCGGAAGAGGCGAGUGGAAUUCCUGGUGUAGCGGUGGAAUGCGCAGAUAUCAGGAGGAACACCGGCGGUGUAGACGGCUUUCUGGACCGUAGCUGACGCUGAGACACGAAAGCGUGGGUAGCAAACAGG